rnacentral:rRNA from 1 species
ACGAACGCUGGCGGCGUGCCUAACACAUGCAAGUCGAACGGAGAUGCUGAUGAGGAGACUUCGGUCAACGAGUUAGUAUUCUUAGUGGCGGACGGGUGAGUAACGCGUGAGCAAUCUGCCUUCCAGAGGGGGAUAACGUUCUGAAAAGAACGCUAAUACCGCAUAACGUAUGAUGGUGGCAUCACCGACAUACCAAAGGAGCAAUCCGCUGAGAGAUGAGCUCGCGUCUGAUUAGAUAGUUGGUGGGGUAACGGCCUACCAAGUCGACGAUCAGUAGCCGGACUGAGAGGUUGAACGGCCACAUUGGGACUGAGACACGGCCCAGACUCCUACGGGAGGCAGCAGUGGGGAAUAUUGCACAAUGGGCGAAAGCCUGAUGCAGCAACGCCGCGUGAGGGAAGACGGUCUUCGGAUUGUAAACCUCUGUCCUUGGUGACGAACAAAUGACGGUAGCCUUGGAGGAAGCCACGGCUAACUACGUG